AUUGAACGCUGGCGGCAGGCCUAACACAUGCAAGUCGAGCGGAGCAGCGGACGGGUGAGUAAUGCCUAGGAAUCUGCCUGGUAGUGGGGGAUAACGUCCGGAAACGGGCGCUAAUACCGCAUACUAUCAGAUGAGCCUAGGUCGGAUUAGCUAGUUGGUGGGGUAAAGGCCUACCAAGGCGACGAUCCGUAACUGGUCUGAGAGGAUGACCAGCCACACCGGGACUGAGACACGGCCCGGACUCCGACGGGAGGCAGCAGUGGGGAAUAUUGCGCAAUGGGGGCAACCCUGACGCAGCCAUGCCGCGUGAAUGAAGAAGGCCUUCGGGUUGUAAAGCACUUUCAGCGGGGAGGCGUUACCCGCAGAAGAAGCACCGGCUAACUCCGUGCCAGCAGCCGCGGUAUAC
rnacentral:rRNA from 1 species